rnacentral:rRNA from 1 species
CUUUCCCUCUUUCUUCCUUCCUAACACAUGCAAGUCGAACGAGUGGCGGACGGGUGAGUAAUGUCUGGGAAACUGCCUGAUGGAGGGGGAUAACUACUGGAAACGGUAGCUAAUACCGCAUACCAUCAGAUGUGCCCAGAUGGGAUUAGCUUGUUGGUGGGUUACCUGCUCACCAAGGCGACGAUCCCUAGCUGGUCUGAGAUGAUGACCAGCCACACUGGAACUGAGACACGGUCCAGACUCCUACGGGAGGCAGCAGUGGGGAAUAUUGAACAAUGGGCGCAAGCCUGAUGCAGCCAUGCCGCGUGUAUGAAGAAGGCCUUCGGGUUGUAAAGUACUUUCAGCGGGGAGGCGUUACCCGCAGAAGAAGCACCGGCUAAAUCCGUGCAAGAAGCAGAGGGAAUAC